AUACAGAGGGUGCGAGCGUUAAUCGGAAUUACUGGGCGUAAAGGGUACGUAGGCGGUUAAAUAAGUUGGAUGUGAAAGCCCCGGGCUCAACCUGGGAACUGCAUUCAAAACUGUUUGACUAGAGUGUAUGAGAGGUUGGCGGAAUUCCAGGUGUAGCAGUGAAAUGCGUAGAUAUCUGGAGGAACAUCAGUGGCGGAGGCGGCCAACUGGCAUAACACUGACGCUGAGGUACGAAAGCGUGGGGAGCGAACGGGAUUAGAUACCCCAGUAGUCC
rnacentral:rRNA from 1 species